GUCAAGUGCAAGAGGUUGAGUCUGCAGCUAGACAAGAGCAGUAACCCUUAUUAUUGGGAUGGUCACCACCCGGUGGAUGCUGGUUGGUUGGCCAGAGUUUCUCAUCAAGGAGUACAUGCUGUUUGCUCCCCAGAUGGACAGCCUGGAUGAGCUACAAAUCCACAGAGCCUGGGACACAAGAAAUUCCAAUUUUCAACAAAUGUUGCAAGUAGGUCAAACCUUCACUGGAAAACCAGGUUGGGUUGCAGACACCAGAUGACAGGAGGGGCAGUGACAGAUUGGAGUGACCCAGAGUACCGGAACAAUGAUGGUGAGAGACUUAAAACUAGAUUUUGUGUGCAGGGGUCAAAGAGGGGAACUCUGGGGAGUCCCACUGGGGAAGACUCACUAUGCAUGGCUAUAGAGGGCAGAGGUGUGACAUGAGGGUCAAAGGAAGGACACCCAGAUAGGCUGUUGUCCCAG
rnacentral:lncRNA from 1 species